UACAGAGGUCUCAAGCGUUGUUCGGAUUCAUUGGGCGUAAAGGGCGCGUAGGCGGCGCGGUAAGUCACUUGUGAAAUCUCUGAGCUUAACUCAGAACGGCCAAGUGAUACUGCAGUGCUAGAGUGCAGAAAGGGCAAUCGGAAUUCUUGGUGUAGCGGUGAAAUGCGUAGAUAUCAAGAGGAACACCUGAGGCGAAGGCGGGUUGCUAGGCUGACACUGACGCUGAGGCGCGAAAGCCAGGGGAGCAAACGGG
rnacentral:rRNA from 1 species